AACGAACGCUGGCGGCAGGCUUAACACAUGCAAGUCGAGCGCCCCGCAAGGGGAGUGGCAGACGGGUGAGUAACGCGUGGGAACGUAGUUUUUGGUUCGGAACAACUCUGGGAAACUGGGGCUAAUACGGGAUAAGGCCUAACGGGGAAAGAUUUAUCGUCGAAAGAUCGGUUCGCGUCUGAUUAGCUAGUUGGUGAGGUAACGGCACACCAAGGCGACGGUCAGUAGCUGGUCUGAGAGGAUGAGCAGCCACACUGGGACUGAGACACAGCCCAGACUCCUACGGGAGGCAGCAGAGGGGAAUAGAGGACAGUGGGCGGAAGGCUGAUCCAGCCAUGCCGCGUGAGUGAUGAAGGCCUUAGAGUUGUAAAGCUCUAUUGUCCGGGAAGAUAAUGACGGUACCGGAAGAAUAAGCCCCGGCUAACUUCGUG
rnacentral:rRNA from 1 species